rnacentral:sRNA from 1 species
AGUCCUCGUGUGUAUUUUAGGAGAUGCGUGGGUGUGGAACAGCCUCCUGCCUCCGGUCCAGGUGUACUGGGGUCUGUGUGUUGUGUUUCUGCGUGUUCUCGGCAGUGAUUCAUCAGAAACUGGCAUGCUGUCCCGCCUGGGUGAUUUGCUCUUUUACACUAUUGCUGAAGGACAGGAACGAAUCCCUAUCCACAAGUUCACCACUGCACUAAAGGCCACUGGACUGCAGACAUCAGAUCCUCGGCUCCGAGACUGCAUGAGCGAGAUGCACCGCGUGGUCCAAGAGUCCAGUAGUGGUGGCCUCUUGGACCGAGAUCUCUUCCGAAAGUGAGGGCCCCAGAAACAAGGGCACUGCUCUCUGAAAACUGUCCUGUGGACAUAGACUCUCAGAGCAGGGAGGAAUUUGGGAAUUGUAUAGUUCAAUUCCUCAUUUUAUUACUUAUUACAUAAGUUAUACAUGAAUACUCAUCAUAAGAGUUCAAACAAUAUAGAAAUACAUGUUCUCCUUU